UACGUAGGGGGCAAGCGUUAUCCGGAUUUACUGGGUGUAAAGGGAGCGUAGACGGAAUUGCAAGUCUGAUGUGAAAAUUCGGGGCUCAACCCCGUCGUGCCGUUGAAACUGAUGUUCUUGAGUGGGCGAGAAGUAUGCGGAAUGCGUGGUGUAGCGGUGAAAUGCAUAGAUAUCACGCAGAACUCCGAUUGCGAAGGCAGCAUACCGGCGCCCAACUGACGCUGAAGCACGAAAGCGUGGGUAUCGAACAGG
rnacentral:rRNA from 1 species